rnacentral:rRNA from 1 species
UACGGGGGGGAGCAAGCGUUGUUCGGAUUUACUGGGCGUAAAGCGCGCGCAGGCGGCGGUGCUGGCCCGGCGUGAAAGCCCCCGGCUCAACCGGGGAGGGUCGUCGGGGACCGCACCGCUUGAGGGCGGUAGGGGCCGGUGGAAUGCCUGGUGUAGUGGUGAAAUGCGUAGAGAUCAGGCGGAACACCCGUGGCGAAGGCGGCCAGCUGGGCCGUCCCUGACGCUGAGGCGCGAAGGCGUGGGGAGCGAACGGGG